AGUCGAGAAUCUUCGGCAAUGGGCGAAAGCCUGACCGAGCGACGCCGCGUGCGGGAUGAAGGCCCUCGGGUUGUAAACCGCUGUCGUAGGGGAGGAAGGCUUCGUGAAGAGCGAGGUUUGACCUAUCCUAGGAGGAAGUACGGGCUAAGUUCGUGCCAGCAGCCGCGGUAAUACGAACCGUACAAACGUUAUUCGGAAUCACUGGGCUUAAAGGGUGCGUAGGCGGCCAUGUAAGUGAGAUGUGAAAUCCCUCGGCUCAACCGAGGAACUGCGUUUCAUACUGCAUGGCUUGAGGGAGACAGGGGUAAGCGGAACUGAUGGUGGAGCGGUGAAAUGCGUUGAUAUCAUCAGGAACACCGGUGGCGAAAGCGGCUUACUGGGUCUCUUCUGACGCUGAGGUACGAAAGCUAGGGGAGCGAA
rnacentral:rRNA from 1 species